CAGAGGGUGCAAGCGUUGUUCGGAAUUAUUGGGCGUAAAGCGCGUGUAGGCGGCUUAGCAAGUCGGGCGUGAAAGCCCUCGGCUCAACCGAGGAAGUUGCACCCGAAACUGCUGAGCUUGAGUGCCGGAGAGGAUGGCGGAAUUCCCCAAGUAGAGGUGAAAUUCGUAGAUAUGGGGAGGAACACCGGUGGCGAAGGCGGCCAUCUGGACGGUAACUGACGCUGAGACGCGAAAGCGUGGGGAAGCAAACAGGAUUAGAUACCCUGGUAGUCCACGCCGUAAACGAUGAGAACUAGAUGUCGCGGGUGUUGACCCCUGCGGUGUCGCAGCUAACGCAUUAAGUUCUCCGCCUGGGAAGUACGGUCGCAAGAUUA
rnacentral:rRNA from 1 species